UGGGGAAUAUUGCACAAUGGGCGCAAGCCUGAUGCAGCCAUGCCGCGUGUGUGAAGAAGGCCUUCGGGUUGUAAAGCACUUUCAGCGAGGAGGAAGGGGAGUGUGUUAAUAGCACAUUGCAUUGACGUUACUCGCAGAAGAAGCACCGACUAACUCCGUGCCAGCAGCCGCGGUAAUACGGAGGGGGCAAGCGUUAAUCGGAAAUACUGGGCGUAAAGCGCACGCAGGCGGUUUGUUAAGUCAGAUGUGAAAUCCCCGCGCUUAACGUGGGAACUGCAUUUGAAACUGGCAAGCUAGAGUCUUGUAGAGGGGGGUAGAAUUCCAGGUGUAGCGGUGAAAUGCGUAGAGAUCUGGAGGAAUACCGGUGGCGAAGGCGGCCCCCUGGACAAAGACUGACGCUCAGGUGCGAAAGCGUGGGGAGCAAACA
rnacentral:rRNA from 1 species